AGUGAACGCUGGCGGUAGGCCUAACACAUGCAAGUCGAACGGCAGCACAGUAAGAUCUUGCUCUUACGGGUGGCGAGUGGCGGACGGGUGAGGAAUACAUCGGAAUCUACUUUUUCGUGGGGGAUAACGUAGGGAAACUUACGCUAAUACCGCAUACGACCUACGGGUGAAAGCAGGGGAUCUUCGGACCUUUCGCGAUUGAAUGAGCCGAUGUCGGAUUAGCUAGUUGGCGGGGUAAAGGCCCACCAAGGCGACGCUCCGUAGCUGGUCUGAGAGGAUGAUCAGCCACACUGGAACUGAGACACGGUCCAGACUCCUACGGGAGGCAGCAGUGGGGAAUAUUGGACAAUGGGCGCAAGCCUGAUCCAGCCAUACCGCGUGGGUGAAGAAGGCCUUCGGGUUGUAAAGCCCUUUUGUUGGGAAAGAAAAGCAGCAGGUUAAUACCCGGCUGUUCUGACGGUACCCAAAGAAUAAGCACCGGCUAACUUCGUG
rnacentral:rRNA from 1 species